AGAGAGGGAGAGGGAGAGGGAGAGGGAGAGGGAGAGGGAGAGGGAGAGGGAGAGGGAGAGGGAGAGGGAGAGGGAGAAUUCUAGUGUGCCUCUUAUUGCUGUGGUAAACACAACCAAGAGAAACAUGAAAGGCAAGGGUUUGUUUGGUUUCCAUGUCCUGAUCACAGUCUAUCACUGGGGAAGUCAGGACAGGGACUUAGGAACUGAGUUAGAGGUCAUGAAGCAGUGCUGCUUACUGGCUUGCUCCCUGUGGCUUGCUUGGCUACCUUUCCUACAGCACCCAUGGCUACUUGCUCAGGAGUAGCGCCACCUACAGAGGGCUAGGUCCUCCUACAUCAAUCAUUAAUCAGGGAAAUGCAUCACAGGCUUGCCUUCAGGGAAAUCUGAUGGAGGCAUUUUCUCCAUUGAGUUUCCCUCUUUCCAGAUGACCCUAGCUUGCAUCAAAUUGACUCAAAAAUAAAAACAAAACCACAAAAACCUAACCAUCAUUGAAGGGUAACGAUUUUUAAUUACACAUUCUCAGGUUAAUUAAGUAUACAGGAAAGCUGAUUUUGACAUAAAGACUUAGUUAAGGAAUAGUAUGACGUGGUGACAUAAGUUUAUAAACAACCUUAAAACCGUAAACUCUUACCCUCAUGCAAGUUAAAAGAAUGUGAUUGAGCUAGACAUGAUGCCUCAUGCCCUUUACUUCAGUACGUAGGAUUCAGAGGCAGAAGGAUUGCUUUCAGUGUGAGAGUAGAAUUUACCUCAAAACAACAAUAACAAAAACCCAGAAGAAUGUUAUUGUUGAGUCAAUUGGGAUUAUUUUUUAUUAUUAUUAUUAUAGCCACAUACUGAAAACAGAAAGUCAUGAGGAAAUUCUUUAUAAAAUGUUGUAGAUGUGGAAAUUGAGAUUGUAAUGACAUCUGAGGAAGACUGGUGGUAGUUCUCGAGGUCCGUGUGGUGCCCGAGUGAAAUUUACUGCGGGCAGGAGCUUCAGCUCCAGAACUGGGUUAGUGUGUGGAUGCUGACAGCAGUGGCCGUAGCAUGGUGUGAACUCCGAGAACAUUUUCUUAUUAAAUGCAUGGCAGGGUCUGCAUGUGCUAAUUACUCUUCGGGCAUCUGGUGUAGGAGAUUAGACUAAUCACAUACUCCUAGACACAUACUGUUCCCAUGUCUGUUUAUCACAGGAUUGUUGAGCACUGAGCUCUGGGUUGCUAAGUGUUUUCUAUUCCAGAAUAAAUAAUUCAAGCAGAUCCUGGAGAUGAGACGUGAAAAAUGGAGGGGUGGCCCAGGAGAUAGCUCCAUGUGUGCGUUGUAAGCACAAGGACCCAGGUUCGAUCCCCAGAACACCUGUAAAAAAGCUGAGUGUGACGGCACGUAUGUGUUUUCCUGUUGCCAGGGAGAUGAAAACAGGAAGAUUCCACAUCUUACUGACCAGAGCCUAGCCUGCCUGGCAACCUCUGUGUAUAUACCCUGCACAUAAACAUGCACUUACACAUAAAGGAACACAGACACACAUGAAGAUUAGGUGAAGUUACAAAAGAAGAUACAUAGGUAUAAGCCUGCUUUCCAGUCAUGUGGUACUCAGAGCCCAGCAGAAACCCCCAUUGAUUAAACCUUUCAAGGAGCCAAUGAGAGCCAUGGCAGCUUGAGUCCUGGUUUGUGUACCAGCGGGCUGCAUGUGAUACCCAUACCAAGCAAGAACCUGGACUCCACAGCGAGUUCCAGGUUAAUGUAGACUCCAGGGUGAAACCCUUUCUCCCGUCAAAACAAAAUAAAACAUAGAAAAGUCAAUUUCCUUCCCAGCCUGAAGAAGAUACUUCAAGUGAAUGUGAGCUUUCAGUUUUAAUUAGAAAAUCUUUCUGGUGGAGGUACUGCCUCUACUCUCCUCCUGGUCUGGACCAACACUAACAGGCUUUCCGUGACUGUCAUUCUCAUGGCUGAAUUAAUACAUCUUUAACAGAAAAGAAAAGGGAGACUGGGAAUGGCUCCGCGGGCAAGGUACUCGCUGAAGCACCAGGGUAAGUUUGACUCUCCAGAAUUCUCUCCUAAAGCUGGACGUGUGACAUAAAGGACAAUCACCCCAAUGCUCCUGUGGGGGCAUGGAAAGCUGAGGCAGGAAAAUCCCUGAAAGCUUGCUGCUAAGCUAGCCUGUUGUGCAAAGGGGAAAAUCAACAGAAAUCUGCUUAGCUGCCUCUGGCAGGGACAAUUCAGGACUGAUAUCUGGUGUGCCUCUGACCUCCACAUCGACAUUUUGUGAAAUGUGCUCUGUCUGUCUGUCUGUCUGUCUCUCUUUCUCUGUGUCUCUGUCUCUGUCUGUCUCUCUGUAUCUCUGUCUCUGUGUCUCCGUCUCUGUCUGUCUCUCUGUCUCUCUGUCUCUCUCUGUCUCUCUGUCUCUGUCUCUGUCUCUCUCUCUCUCACACACACACACACACACACAUACGAAUUAAUUAAUAGAAAGAGACAGAUGAAAGAAUCAAGGUACCCAUUAAGUCCAGUAUAAAGUCCAAUAUUUAUAUUGUAUUUUGUCACAUUCAAUUAACUUGCGUUUCACACAUAAUAUUGACAGAAGUAAAAUCCCACUGACAUUUCUCUGUAUGUUUUAGGAUACAUGUAUGGAUCUGGAAACUAUGGGGAGUGAUCUAUUGGCAUGUUUCUUUAAAUAUAUAUGGGUGAUAUUUCCCAUCCUUAAGAGUAACCUUAGGAAGCUUAUAAAUCCUGUCAAAUCAAAGCUGCUCAACAUAUAUAUAUGUAUAUAUAUAUAUAUAUACAUACAUAUAUAUAUACAUAUAUAUAUCACAAAGCAAAAUGUCCUACUCUUUCAGAAUCUCAGGGCCAAGGGCUGGGACCUUGAUGGGAAGCGGGCCCAAAGAAACCCACGCUAAGAGGGUCUGCAGGGAGGCAGCACAACAACAAGUUGGCGCUGCCUUGGGUUCUUUCUUUGAUUUCUUGGGUUCAGCUUUGAUUUUCUUUCUUUGAUCAUGCUGGUUACUAAGGCCAUUUCCGUGCAAGCAUAUACUAUACUUCGAGCUGAUCCCGGCAUCCUGCUGCACCCCACUUCUCCCCCACCCCUCCCCUUUGCUCUUCCCUUCUACUUUCAUGGAGUCUGUAUACAUGUGCAUCUGCAAAUCUAUAUGACAUCUGUGACAGACGAGAGACGUGGCACCUCUCUGGGACUGACUUAAUCCGGUUAUUGUGACUGGCUCCCAGUGACCACCAUUUCCAGUUAGUGACCUGAAGUCAGUUUGGGGAGUUUCGCUGCAUUUCUGGUUUUGUUGGUUGUUUGGGGGGGGGGGUCACAAGCAUUCAUUUUCUAGCCCUUCUGACUACUCUUGGUCGGCAGGCAAUUCUCACUCUCAGCCCUAUGCCAACCUUGGGAGCCGUGAGUCUCUGGUUUCUUGGACUUUAGCCAGUUGUGUUUCUGUCUUCACACUGUUGUGUGCAUGUUUUCAUGCUCCUCCAGGGACACUAAGUGUCAAGGAUUCAGCAUUUCGGAAAUAGAAUUUGGACUCUUGGUUCGGGUUGAAACCCACUGGGACCCCAUAGAGUUCCUUGUUCCUAUGGGCCCACUCUCUGUGAAGGGGAAGCAAGAGAACACUUUGUUAUUGUUGAUGUGCCUUUGGGUUCUGGGGUUGCAGAUAAAAGACUGAAGCUGUGUGCUGUGCUGCCUUUUCUGCUGAGGCAGUGUGAAUCCAGACGCUGUGGCCUACUGUUGACAUCCUCCGUUGCUGUUCAGCGAUGAACCAAGUGUGCACUCUCUCUUCUCUCUUCUCUCUCUUUCUCUCUCUCUCUCUCUCUCUCUCUCUCUGUCUGUCUCUUUCUCUCUGUCUCUCUCUGUCUCUCUGUCUCUCUGUCUCUCUCUCUCUCCCCCCCCCCUUUCCCACCUUCUGCAAAGUCACAAAUAAAAGAUGGAGGCAAUGAACUCAGUACCCAGUCGGUUGUUCAGAGAGGGAGCUGCUUCUGUUGCCACUGGUCUCUUAUCACAUCAUAUGAGGUUAUCUGGUCUCUUCAGAGCAAUGGAUUUGGUCUUAUCUAUUUGUUGUUGUUUAGGUUUUCAAUGCAUCCUGAUUUUCUAUUAACUGUAAAUUGUGGGAGGAUUGCCUGUCUGAAAAUAUCAUCCACUAUAGUUCAUCCUUCUUACUUCAAGUGUGAGGUGAAGGCUUUGUACUCAACGUGGCUGUUCUCUUGUUAAAUCCUCAAUUAUCGCAAAAUAUGAGCUCUUGGCAUUCAUAGAAAGACAAGCUAAAGGGGGGUUGUCUACAGUCUCAAGUUCACGAAUAGCACAUCAGUCUUGGACCAGAGCUUACCAAGUUCUCUCUGAAAGUAGGGGAGAAGAGUGUGCUAGGCUCUGGUUAUAACUAGUUCUCUGGUAGAAAUCACAGCUGCACUACAACCUAAUUAUCCCAAUUUUACCAAGGAUUAGAAACAUAUGUAUAGUUUUGUUUCUGUGCAUUGGCAGGCCCAAUGGAUAUUCUGUCCACAUGCUGGUGAAGCCCAGAUUCUAGGGUAUUUCAGAUGGUAUUUCCUCCUCUCUAAGGCACACUUCCCACCUCCAGUGAUUACUGAAGGGGCUUAAAUACUUCCUAUUCAGCUUCCCGUUAUCAGAGCAGACAGUAUAGUCUUGGCAGCCUUCUCCUCAGCCAGGGAGCUAAAAUCUGUGACUUCUUUAGGGCUAAUGUCUUAAACUGGUGAUAUUAGCUAACAAUUUAUUCAGAAGUCGAAUAUCAUGGUUGAUUACAGGGUCAUAAUAAGACCCUUCCUCUGAUUAGGACUUUCAAUUUUCUGGGUAAAUAAAGGCACUCUGGUGCGCUCUCCUCCCACUUUACCCCACCUUGCUCCCCCUUGUGCUUCUCUAUGCAAACUGUGGAAAUCUCCAGGGGGCUGUUGUCUCCUUGCUCUGUUUCAGACUUGAAAGUAGUGUUCAAAUGCAGACAUAUUUUACAGAUUGGCAAUUUUGCUAUAAUUAAGUUUCAUGAAUAUGAAAAUUCUCAGGAAAUUCCCAUGAUGCUCCAUGAUCUGAAGGCAAGGGUUUAUAUAAGAAUUCUUUUUCGCCUCACUGUGACCCUGACCAUAGGAGUGUGGUGCAAGUAAAGCAUGAUAUAAACUCUUCUGAAACCAAAAUCGUAUUUUGGUUCAGACUUAGCUAUGGAAUGUAUUAGACUAAAGGGCUUGGUUUGGGGGGAAGAGAGUUAGUGUUGUAGAUCUGAGGCUCAGAAUAGCAAGCAAGCUCUGCACCCCAGGAAAUGGUACACACCCAGCCCUCUUUAUUAGGUUUCUUCCAUCUGUACUUAGGUUCAUCAAGGAAAAGAAAUUAGAAUGAUCAGUUUCUUUCUCUUGUUCCCUUUAUAACCUCUGCAUCUAUCUCACAGUUGUGUUAACAGCCCAGCAUUGCUUCAAAAAUUCUCAAGGAAAGCUUCACGGGCCCCGUUUGUCUCUACAAAAGAGCACCUUAUGAACUGGUUAUUGCUGGUCACUUAUUUCUAUUAUAUUUUAUUUCAUUUAUAAAUAGGCACUCAUUCAAAAUUACACACACACACACACACACACACACACACACAGCUAACUGCCACACUGUAGCAACCAUCUCAUUGUUGCAUCAAUGUUAUUCAAGAAAAUGUUAUAUGUACUACUUUGGUGUAAAACCCCAGAGAUGGGGUUAUGCCCUGAGUUACUUGCUUUUAUUGAUUAUGAAGAUGACCUGGGUAGGUAGUCCAACAGAGAAUUACAUCUUAAGUGAAGACAGCAGUCCUUAGGCCAGCUCAAAUGGAGCUUGUAGAGACGGAAGAUUAUGCAGAAUAGCCUGUCCCAACAACAACUACUGCUCCUGACUUGCAGGCUUCAAGAUCCCUCUCUCAGUCAGGCUAAGCUCAUUUGACCAAUGGCUGAAAGGUAUGUCAAACCACCAGUAGUGUAGACAGCCUGCUACCAAUGCCAGGCUGUACAUGGUGACUCAGCCCCUCAAAUAGGCAAAAGAUUGUGUUCUAAAGAUUUGAAAUUAUUUUAAAAUUGUAUAAACUUAAAAUCUCUGUCAAGCAUUGGUUUUAAUCUGUUGAAUAGUUUUGGAUAGAUAGACAUGUAUUUAAAGUCCCCUUUGAAUAAAUGGGUUCUUGUAGUUGACACUGCUCACUGAACAAAUGACUACAAUCCCACCUUUGAUCUACCUGAGGUAAAAUAGGAUAAAAUCAGAAACACUGACACAUUCUGUCUCCCCAUCCUUACUUAAAAUGAGAAGAUAGUAUCUAUUCUGUUGUUCUCUCUCUCUCUCUCUCUCUCUCUCUCUCUCUCUCUCUCUCUCUGUGUGUGUGUGUGUGUGUGUGUGUGUGUGUUAGAUGCCUUUCCUUAAUGUUGAGUAUUAUUUUCAAUCUCUGCCUCCCCCUUCCCCCUUGAGACAGGAUCUCUAGCUGAAUGGGGAGCCCAUAAAUUUUUAUACGGUAGCCAAUAAGCUCCAGGAAUUCUGCUGUCUCCACAACUGCAACAGUGAUGCUAGGUUACAGACCUGCCUUUUCUUCCUUUUCUUUUUUUCUUUUCCAUUUUAAAAAAUGCAUGGGUCCUCAUGCUUGUAUGACAGGCACUUUACCGUCAGAGCGGUUUCCCAGCCUCCUGGUUGAUGCCUAUGUCUUACCCUCCACCCCACUGGCUGAAAAGACUUAACAUAACCAUUUUACCCAUGUGUCACAUGUAAUUGACUCAGCCCUUGGAACUGCCACCACCAAAGACAGCUCUGCAGAGAGAUGAGAUUACUGAAAUGCAUUGUCUAUAGGAAGGAACUUUCAUGAAAGUACUGUGGAAUUAUGCUGUGGGAAGGCAGAGUCAUGUUCUGUGUGGUUCUUUAAACAGAGAAAGGGGCGUGGGGAAAAGGCUCAGCAGUUAAAAUGUCCACUGAUAUAAACAAGAGGACCAGAAUUCAGCUUUCCAGAACCCACAGAAAUGCUAAGUGGGUGUGGCAGUUAACCUGUAAUUGUAUCCCUACAAGGCAGAGACAGGGAGCAAGCUAUCUUUCCAAAGUAGGCCAGGCUGGCUGGUCAGUGAGUACCACGGAUCUGGCUACCUUCUCCCUGGUGCUGGGAUUUCAAUAAACAUGCAGCAGCAGGGACCCCCCCCCCCCCGUUUAAAAAUGUGGAUUUUGAGGACGGAGUUCAGGUCUUCCUAGUUGGAGGGCAAACAUUUUUCUAAACAUAUCAGCCCCACUCAUUUUAAGCCUCCAAGUUUACAAUAUCUUGUUACAGCAGCGACGGAAAAUUAAUACCAUGGGGAAGAAUCGCUUGCCUUGCAUAACCUGUCAGGUGAGCUGAGGUGAGAGAGGCUCCCGGAAACUAUGGAUGUUUGCAUUGACUGCAGAAACCGUGCUUCCCUGAGCACAGCCGUAGGAUGACUUCAUCUCUCUACCCUGUAUCUAACACGACUCCAUCUUGUAGUUUUGCUGGGUAUUCUCUUGGGAGUCAGUAUGUUCUGUAAAGAAAAAUAAAAGGACAUUUCAAUCCUGGGACUAUUAUGGUUGCAUAUCUAUGGUUGUGAUGCUUAAAGCACCGAUGACACUGUACGUUUUUACAAACAGUAUGGAAACUAUAGUGUAUCUUUGUGUAACUCAGUUAGUUUGUAAUAUACACCUCAGUACACCAGGUGGCAGAAUGUUAACUUCAUUUAGUUUGUGGUGAUCCCAAUCAAUUCGGGGAUGGAUUGCUGGUCUCAGCCUCCCACACCUUGUCUGGGAGUUUCAGUUGUAUGCAGAAGUCUCAGCUGACACAGGCCUGAGCCCAGUGAAGUGACCAGCCUCUCUAUGCUCCUAGCCUGUACCACCAAUGGGAACUAUAUUGGUCAGCUUUCUGAGGCAUGCAGCUUAGAGAGAAGGCCCAUUUGGUCUCGAGGUCUUAGAGGCCUCAGCCUACUGGUCUGUUGCUUCUUAGUCUGUGGCCAAGAAGCACAUGGUAGGAGGGCAGAUUAGAACUCUUCUGGAGACUGAGAAGGUGAAGGGAAGCAGAGUGGGGCAGGGUCCCUCUGUCUAGAUUGAGAACAUGUUCCUACAGGAAUCUCCACCACACACACACACACACACACACACACACACACACACACACACACGGCCUCUCAGCAGCUUCACUUUAGGGUCCAAAUGUUCAUACUUAGGCUUCUGGAAAACACUUACGAUCCACACUAUAGUGGGAACUCAUGUAAGAAGGUCAGAGUUUGUUAGGAUUCACGAGGUCACCCAAAGCUUGACAGUCUGAUGGGGGACUCACAGAACCCAGAGAAUCCUUUCCUGUAAUGGCUGAAGCCUAUUACAAUAAAGGGCCUCGGAUUAAACUUUGCAGAAGAGAGAAGACUUUGUGAGAGUCUAGGAGACUUCUCUUUCCUUGUGACCAAACACCUGACCAGAAGAAACAGACAGAGGAAGGUUAUUUGCCUUCACAGUGUAAGAAACAGCAUGUCUGCCUACAUCAUAGCAGAGAAAGCAGGCAGCAGAGCAGGAGGUUGGCCUGGCAAAGAGUAGGCAGGAAGAAAAACCAGGUCAUAAUGCCUCAAGGCCUGGUCCCAGUGACCCAGUUCCUACAGUAAGGCUCCACCACCAUAAAGGGUCAACAGUCUCCAAAACCAUAUCAUCAGCUGGGUCCGAGUAUUCACAUACUUCACAUUUAAACCACAAAGGCUUCUGCUUGCCUCUGCUUUGAAGUUGGAAAACAUCCUCCUCUUCCAACCUCCCCCUGCUCCCUUCUCCCUCCCCUCCCCUCCUCCCCUCCUAAUCCUGACACAAUGCUGAUGAAGACAGGGGCACCCCUGGGCAAUGUUGUCAUUGUGUAAAUCUCAUAGAGAAGACUUACUUAAGCCAUAGCUAUGAGAUUACCUGGUGAUGUCAUUUUAUAGGAUCACCAUCUUCUGCAUGGUCCAGCCACAGAGGGAAAUAUACCUCACGGCACAGCACAACUGCACACAGGAACCUCUAUGUCAAGCCUGGUGUCCAGAGUUUUUUAUCAGGAGUCAGUAAUAUAGAUGUGUAGUGCUCAUUUGACUGACCUCAACUGCCCUAUUGCAGCAUCUCCAAGCCUGACCUACUGAUUUUCAACCUUCCUACUGCCGUGACUCUUUAAUACAGUUCCUCAAGUUGUGGUGAUCCCCAGCCAUAAAUUACUUCGUUGCUACUUUAUGCUAUAAUCUUCCUACUGUUAUGACUUGUAGUGUAAAUAUCUGAUAUGCAGAAUAUCUAAUCUAUGACCCCCAAAAGGAUCAAGACCCACAUGGCCCAGGAGCCCAGAAAAACAAAUGACUAAUUAAAAAACCUCCUCAGCAUAGCCCCUUGUUCUAAGUACACACAUGGGUAUUACAAGGGAUGGAAGUCCCUUGAGCAUGGCUGUAUUCUUUAGCAUGUGCAAGGGGCAGACAUCCUGCCUGGUGAGUUAACCCUUUCCUUCACAUGAGCAUAGACUCCCCGACUCUCAGGUAAUCAUAAACCCAUCUGUGAUUGCGUUAUGUCUAUUUUUAUCAGAUGAGGUUGCUGUGGGAAUAACCCAUUCCCAGGGUCGCAUAUGGAGCCCUGUCAUCAGCUUACAGGUUUCUUGUCCUGUGUGGGCGGGCAAAGCUGCCUUUGAUAGAGCAUGCUGUCUGUCUGAAGCCUAUUGCUCAUCCAAUCAGCAGCUUCCCUAGAAGGAUAUAAAGUUUAGGCAUUUGAAGCUCACAUUCUGACCCACAAAGAGAUAAACCAGGUGCUGAAGUGCUUUCCUUAGAAGUCCAAGGAUAUAAGUUCAAUCCCCAGAACCCACAGAGAGAGAGAGAGAGAGAGAGAGAGAGAGAGAGAGAGAGAGAGAGAGAGAGAGAGAACAUAAGCAGAACAGCUAGGGAAGCUGAAACAGGCUGGUCUCAGGCUCACUUGGAAACCCAUCUAUCCAACUUGCCAAGUUCCACACCAGAAAGAGACUCUGUCUGGAAAAUCAAGGACAGCAAGUGAGAAUGACACCCAACAUUGCUUUCUAACACACACACACACACACACACACACACACACACACACACAUACACACGCACAACACAUACAUGAACACACAUGCACAUACAAAUACACACAUGGACACACAUGUGCGCAUAUAUGAACAUACAUGCACACGUGCAUGGAUAAACAUAUGUACAAAUGUGUGAACACAUGUGCACACAUGCACACAGCCUAGUACACACAUAAACACGUGAACGAACAUGUGUGUGCACACACAUGCACAUAUAGCUUGACAUGUGACUAAAGACAUAUGAUUAAAUCUCUUAAUGUUUUCCACUAAGGAAAGAAUGAUAACUAAUAGUGUCUUAUGUAGGAAACAAUGGUUAGACCUACAGACAGUGGCCAACAGCAGAAUGAGGCUUCUUCCUUUGUCCCUUACUAAGCAGGGAAACUAUUUUGCAUCUUCUGGGGUUGGGGGUUGUAAAGCCUUUAGGACUUUUUCAGAUAAAUAAUUCCUGAAACAGUAUUUCAAAUGGGGAAAAAUGACUGCAAUGCAUGUUCACCUGAGAUUAGUCACCAGCAGAGGGAGUUUGGUUUUGUUGCAUUUGACUUAAGCCAACACAAUACAUCUUCCCCAAAAUGGAUCAUGUUUCUAACAAAACAGAACCAACAUCUUUCUUGGAUCAUGAGCUGACAGUGUGUGCUAUACAAUAGAGGUAUGGAUUGCACCUCAGUAAACUGCUGUGACGUGAGUUUUCAGUACACUAGAGCUUUGUAUGUUAAAUGACCAGAUGCCACGGUGCUACCGUUUGUGGAGGCAGGAGAAUUGCAUUGGCAAGUAAUGGGGGCAGGGAUAAAAAUCAUUACUGGGAUAAUUUGGAUGGGAUAGAAACAAAUAUUUAGAAUAUGUACUCUUCUCAGAUAAAUCAGUCAACAAUUCUUAAAUCAACUCAAAAGGGCAUUUUUGAGAGUAGGGAGAUGAUUCAGCAGGUCAAAGUACUUGCUGUUCAAGCAUGAGGGCCAAAGGUUGGAUCCCGAGGACCCAUGUGAAAGGCCAACUAUGGGGGAGCACACACACAGCCGUAGCACUGGGGCAAGAGGAAAGGAGUGGAGACAGACCUAUUUCUCAGGCUUGCUGGAUACAAGCCAAGUUGAAAAGUUGUGAGCUCAGGCUCAAUGAGAGACCCUGUCUCCAAAAAAUAAGGUGGAAAGUAAUAGAAGACAAAAUUAACCCUCUGGCCUUUGCAGGCGUGCACACAGGUGCUGUUACCCUUUCCACAUAUACAUAUAUACCUCCACCACACAAAGGGGACUUGAAGCUUGCAGGAUACUGGAAGAGAACAUGCUAACUAGAACCACAUACUAAAUUUCUACCAUUGGUAAAGGUUUAAUCAGACUCUGUCUUCACAACUGUGCUCCACGCAUAGCCUAAAUGCUGUCAACAAGGCUGUUUGGAGGCUGUUUGUGUACCAGAAACCAAUGGCUCAAGCCAUAAGCCGUAGCAGCAUCCUACCCCAAAUCUCAGGCUCAAUGCCAUCACAGGCCAGCUCCAAGCUGCAUCUGAACUGGACAGGUCAACCUGAAAUGUCCAUGGCCUAGAACUUGGAUGGUUCCUACAGGAAGCCUGCCUAACCCACUCUCCAGCCAUCCCUUCUCUGACUUUCUCUAGAAGAAGACGAGACCAGAUCAUAACUUGGCCAAGACAUGGGUGUUCCCAGGCCUUUGCAACAAAGGAAAGGUCCCACUGGCCAUUUCUAAAGGGCAUAUAGAGCCCCAAGGUUAGUCAUUGGCUGAACAGUUGGGUUUCGUGUGUGAAUAUUGAAUCAGAGAUUACUUAAAUGCUGAUGCAGGCAUUUGCACAAGUUUCUCUGUCAUUUUCACACUACCCUUGGAAGAAUGGGUAGAACAAAAUUUAUUGAACCUUUGACUUGACUUGAAAAUCAUUUUUGAUGUCAAAAUAUGAAUAUAUAGCCCUGUUUCUGUCCCUUUCAUUGUUCUCAGGGACAUACUCUAUUGCAUGCAUGGAGUUAACCCAUUUUCUGCCUCUGAACAAACACUAGUAUCUCUCCGUUCUGUAUGUAACAUAUUCCUAACCACUCUGCAUGUGUGGCACUUUGAAUGUGGAAGACACAUGGGCAGAUCAUUCAAGAGCAUCUGGAUACUUAGAAGCAGCUGGCAAUGUCUUCUUUUUCAUGUGGAAUUGUGGUGUCCCAUAAGCUCGCCACAUUUUUAAAAAUUAAAGUUGCAAAGUCCAGGAGAUUCUACAUUGUGCAAUGUAAGUUGGCUGCCGGCUCCUAUGGUAUUUAUGGUGACUUUUGAAGAUAUGUAGUUUCAGAGAGAAUCUGAAUGGGCAAGAUUUAGGUUGUCAGCCAGUUUACAGACUCUAGAAAAUCUGUCUUUUAGAUGUGCUACAGUGGUUAGGUCUCCGUCUCUCAUUAGCAAUUCUCCCGCCAUGCAUGAUGAACUGGAUUUUGACCUAUGACUCACGUAUAGAUUGCAGAGAGGCCUUCAAAGUUAUUUAAUAGUAAUGAAGACUUGCGUGAGCUUGUCUGUCACACAUCACGUUUUGCUCUGUGUCCUUAACCCAAAGCUGAAAUCUUUCUGAAAAGUUUGUAACUUGUAAUAAGCUACUUGUAAUAGCCAGAAGAUUUCCAAAAUACUGCAAAGCCCAGAACAAAGAUUCAAGGCUGGAGAGAAGGCUCUGUGGCUAAGAGCUCAGACGGCAUCUGAACGUGACCCUGUUCGUCUGGGGCUAGAAGGGGAAUUGCAGGGUGGGUAGAAUAGUAUUCUCUGGCCUCGGAACUCACAAUUCCAUUAGAUUAGGCUGUACUGAAAUCCAGUACAGCUUCUCUUCUUUUUUUAAUAUUGAUUCUGUUUUCCAUUUUAUCCCAUAAUCCUUUGUGCCCUCAACCCUUUCCUCCAUGGCCAAAACCAAGCCUUUCUCUUUGCAGGUAAGAAAUAGCACCCUAAGGAUUAUGCCGCUUUUCAGGACAUUAUUCUAUCAGUCUUUCCUUCUCCCUCAAUGUGUAUGAAGAAAAGGGUAUUAAUUUAGUACGUGUUUUGAUGUUUCAAGGAUAUAAAGCCCACAUUGCUCAGUCCUGGUGAGGGCCUAUGUCAGAUGGCAGACGACAAAGAGGUGAUCUCUCCACACAGGAGUCAGCAUGUGGGGCAUGCUUGCUGUUUUCCGGUCAGCCUUUGCUCCAGAACUUGGAUGGGACUAUGACGCUCCUGAUUUCAGAGUCAAUAAAUCUGCUGAGCUGAGCUGAAAUCCAGAUGAAAUCUGUUGUAUUGAAAGUCUGAUACCUUCAGGUUAGAAGAUUCUAGAACUUCUCUUCUAAGGACUUGGAGUCAUAUGAACUCCCAUGUUGCUUAUUUAAAAGAAGAUCAGCUGAGGCCAAGGAGAUGGCGCAGUUAGCCAAGUGUGUGUGCCCUACCAGCAUAAGGACCUGAGUUUGAACACCAGAACCUGCUGUGUGUGUGUGUUCUUAAUCCCAGAGCUGGGUGGUAGAGACAGGCAAUUUUCUGGGGCCCAAUGGACAGCAAGCCUAGCCUAAUGGGGGAGCUCCAAGUCUUGGUGAGAGACCCAGUCUCAAAAGUCAAAGUCCUGGAAAAGGAUAUCCAAUGUUGUCAUCUGGCGUCUACCUGCACAAGUACAUAGGUAAACAGACCCCACUCCCAACACAACCUCAAAAGAGAGUGUCUUUGUAAGCUGUGCCCUGUGACUGAGAUGAGAGAAAACUGACUAGACAAAGCUGCUUUGGUUAAAACCAUGGAAUUCUGAGGAGUUUCUCUAGUGGUGUAUGUGUGUGUGGGGGUGGGGCUUGUGUGUGUGUGUGUGUGUGUGUGUGUGUGUGUGUGUGUCUGUUUGUCUGUCUGUCUCUGUGUGUCUGUGUCUGUGUGUAUCUGUCUGUGUCUGUGUCUGUACCGUACUCAUAUUUUCUGGAGUCUGUGCUGUGUGUGUGUGUCUGUCUGUCUGUGUCUGUGUCUGUGUCUGUGUCUGUGUCUGUGUCUGUGUCUGUGUCUGUAUGUAUCUGUCUGUGUCUGUGUCUGUACCGUACUCCUAUUUUCUGGAGUCUGUGGUGUGUGUGUGUGUGUGUGUGUGUGUGUGUGUGUGUGUGUGUGUGUGUGUUCUGUACUUGUGUUUCCUGGGGUCUGUGGGGUAUGUAUGUGUAUGUGUGUGUUCUGUAGUAUGUGCUGUGAUUUUUUAUGUUCGUGUGUGUGUGUGUGUGUUAAAGAAUAUAAUGUUUACAUAAUGUAUAUGAAAUGGGCAUGUGGCAGUUGUGGUUUCUAUAAUGUGGUGCUGUGUGUUAUAUGUAUGUGGUGUGUUCUAUUAUCAAGGAGGAGGUUGGGCUGGGAAAGGGGGACUCCCUGGACACCAUACCAGCCCUUCUCAGAUGGUGUAGACCAAAGUUCAGACUACAAGGACAUAUAGUUCCUGGUAUGGAUAAAAGCAUGUGAGACAAUCUCCCUUCUGCACCAGGUGCUUCACUGGGUUCCCUUAGCAAUUGGCUUCACAGGGCAGCCCCUCUCCCACCUUCCACUUCCACUCAUCAAUCAUGGGAAACCAUUAGCUGAGCUGACUUGCCUAAUCGCUUUCUACUGUUUGCUUUUCAGUUAAACUUUUAUGGGGCAGCUGUAUAGAAAUGAAGACCGGAAAGGAAACCACCCCCUCCCCACCCCACCCCCCGUCCAAACUGUGUGAGCAGUGCAGGCACGGGGAGGAGGUUUAUGGCAGUACAUUUGACAAGGAGAAUUGAGAAUCAGAUCUGAAGUCCCCUUGCCAGGCUGCACCUGGUCACUCCUCUGCUUCUUUUCCUCUAGCCUGGGGUGAAAGCCAGUUAUAUGGCAGCUGUGGAGAAUAUUCUUUAAAAAGAAGCCCCCCUGUCCACAGUUCUCCCUGCCCACCCCAACCCUCCCUCAGUUCCAGCUGCUUCUCUUGGCUCCUGUGCAGUGGCUGCUGUGAGGCAGGCUUUCCAUCCACGCACGCACCCUGCCUUGUGUACCCAUCCCCAGAGAAGCACAGUCCAGGGCUCGUUAAAGGACCUAAUGAAUUCUGUGCCUCUCGCUGGCUCAGCAGAUCACCACACAGGCAGGGCCAUUAGCAAGUGGGAGUAUGAACACAGCCCUUCCAGGAAUCAAUAUGCAGCCUGUGUAGAACAAGCCCCUGUGUUUCUCCCAUUAAGAAAACGCAUCACAAA